CCGUCGGCCGCCACAUGACGCUGCCCAGUCCAGAUCUGCGUCGCAGCCCAGCAACCGCCGCCCCUAUUUCCUUCUUCCGCCGUGCGCCGCGACUCCCACCGAUCCUUUCCCUUCCAUUUUCUUCCCGCCGCAGCCAGCCGCCGAUCCUUUCCCUUCUUUUUCUUCCCGCCGCAGCCCAGCCGCAGCCAGCCGCCGAUCCUUUCUCUUCCGUUUUCUUCCCGCCGCAGUCCAGCCGCAGCCCGCGCGCGAUCUGCCGUUCCAUCUCCGGUUCGCGAAGCAACCUUGCAGCAGUCGUCCCGCGCGCCGAUCUGCCGUCUCCAUCGCCGAUUCUGUCUCCGUCGAAGCCAAGGCCGCCGCGUGAACCAGUAACCGCCACGCUCCCGCUCACAAUCGCCGCUCCACCUGCUAUCGACGUCGGCCGACUAGUUGCUGUAACCGUUCAGAUUUGCUGUCUGUUCGCGAUGGUUUCCAUCCGUGAAGCCCAGCCGCCACGUCUCAUUUGGCCGACCGCUGACCGACCCAUACUUAGGAUUUUUGCUGCGAGUUCGACAUUCGUGCGUUGAGGUGUUGGGAGUAACGUUAGGCUCCCUUACAUUCACAACCAGAUUGUGAAUUGUUGAAGGUUCAGUUCGCCAUUAUAUCGGAUUGUUUCGAGGACGUUAGUGAUUAAGGAGCUUCCCUAACUUUGAGGAAGGGAUUUUCUACUGGACUCAAUUGUGAUUGUGAGUGUGAUGAAUGUAUACUGUGGUUUGACUGAAAAUAUAUAUGAAUGCAUAUGAAUUGAAGUAGACUUAACGUCGAAUGUA